UGAGGGAUAGCUCAAUUGGGUGGAGCAUGAGACUCUUAUAAUCUCGGGGACGUGGGUUCAAACCCCAUGUUGCGCAA